UUACGGCCGUAUCACGUUGAAUCACCAGUCCCCAUUCGAUCACCUAAGUUAAGCAAAGCCAAGCCUGGUCAGUACUUAGACGAAUGACCGCUGCAGAAUACUAGAUGCUGUAAG